rnacentral:misc_RNA from 1 species
AGCAGCCGCGGUAAUUCCAGCUCCAAUAGCGUAUAUUAAAGUUGUUGCAGUUAAAAGCUCGUAGUUGAAUUUCGGGAUCAAUAUAUCGGUCGUGCCUUGGUACGUACUGGUAUCAUUGGUUUCUCCUUUCUGACGAACCAUGAUGUCAUUAAUUUGGUGUUAUGGGAAGUUAGGACUGUUACUUUGAAAAAUUAGAGUGUUUAAAGCAGGCUUUGGCUUGAAUACAUUAGCAUGGAAUAAUGAAAUAGGACGUUCGAACCUAUUUUGUUGGUUUCUAGGAUCAACGUAAUGAUUAAUAGGGAUAGUUGGGGGCAUUAGUAUUCAAUUGUCAGAGGUGAAAUUCUUGGAUUUAUUGAAGACUAACUACUGCGAAAGCAUUUUGCCAAGGAUGUUUUCAUUAAUCAAGAACGAAAGUUAGGGAUCGAAGACGAUCAGAUACCGUCGUAGUCUUAACCAUAAACUAUGCCGACUAGGGAUCGGAUGAUGUUAAUUUUUUAAUGACUCAUUCGGCGCCUUACGG